AUGAGGCUCCCUGCUCAACUCCUGGGGCUGUUAAUGCUCUGGGUCCCUGGAUCCAGUGAGAACAUUGGGAUGACCCAGAUUCCACUCUCCCUGCCUGUCACCCUUGGAGAGCCAGCCUCCAUCUCCUGCAGGUCUAGUCAGAGCCUCAUGGAUAGUGAUCAUGGAUUCACCUAUUUGUAUUGGUAUCUGCAGAAGCCAGGCCAGUCUCCACAGCUCCUGAUCUAUUUUGUUUCCUACCGGGCCUCUGGAGUCCCAGACAGGUUCAGUGGCAGUGGGUCAGGCACUGAUUUCACACUGGAAAUCAGCAGGGUGGAGGCUGAGGAUGUUGGGUUUUAUUACUGCAUGCAAAGUAGAGAGCUUCCUCCCACAGUGGUAUAGCCCUGAACAGAAAUCUCUCUGCUGGGGUGUCCCAGCUGCUCACAUGCCCUGCUUGUCUUGGGAGCAGCUCAGCAGUGUCUCUGAGACUGCAGAAGAGGAGGCUGUUGGAGGAAUCAGGUCAGAGUAUGCUUCUGAAGACUCUGUCUGGGACGACAGGUGCAUGUCACUAAGCAUGGCUAAUUUUUAUAUUU